rnacentral:pre_miRNA from 1 species
AGUUUUCCGAAUCAGUGCAGAGAUUUCGACAGACAUCAACCCAAUAGGGCUGAUUAGACUUCCAAGAUAAGUGAAGUU